CUACGGGAUGCAGCAGUGAGGAAUAUUGCACAAUGGGGGGAACCCUGAUGCAGCAACGCCGCGUGGAGGAUGACGCAUUUCGGUGUGUAAACUCCUUUUAUAUGCCAAGAAAAUGACGGUAGCAUAUGAAUAAGCACCGGCGUAACUCCGUGCCAGCAGCCGCGGUAAUACGGAGGGUGCAAGCGUUACUCGGAAUCACUGGGCGUAAAGGACGCGUAGGCGGGUUGGAAAGUCAGGUGUGAAAUCCUACAGCUUAACUGUAGAACUGCACUUGAAACUUCUAAUCUAGAGUAUGGGAGGGGGAGAUGGAAUUAGUGGUGUAGGGGUAAAAUCCGUAGAUAUCACUAGGAAUACCUAAAGCGAAGGCGAUCUCCUGGAACAUUACUGACGCUAAGGCGUGAAAGCGUGGGGAGCAAACAGGAUUAGAUACCCCUGUAGUC
rnacentral:rRNA from 1 species